UGGGGAAUAUUGCACAAUGGACGGAAGUUUGAUGCAGCGACGCCGCGUGGAGGGUGUAGGCCUUCGGGUUGUGAACUCCUUUUUCUCGCGAAAAAGGCACAGUUUUGGCUGUGUUGAUGGUAGUGGGGGAAGAAGCGCCGGCUAACUACGUGCCAGCAGCCGCGGUAAUACGUAGGGCGCGAGCGUUGUCCGGAUUUAUUGGGCGUAAAGAGCUCGUAGGUGGUUCGUCGCGUCUGUCGUGAAAGCCAGCAGCUUAACUGUGGGUCUGCGGUGGGUACGGGCGGGCUUGAGUGCGGUAGGGGUGACUGGAAUUCCUGGUGUAGCGGUGGAAUGCGCAGAUAUCAGGAGGAACACCGAUGGCGAAGGCAGGUCACUGGGCCGUUACUGACACUGAGGAGCGAAAGCGUGGGGAGCGAACAGG
rnacentral:rRNA from 1 species